rnacentral:lncRNA from 1 species
AAAUUAUUAAUCUACAUUUAAUUUUGUUAUUAAAUUAGGCCACACCUUUAUGUGUUACGGAACGCUUCUAACGUGUCAAAUGUCAAUGUCGCGUGGACAUUGACAAUCGCGAAGUCCACAGACUUUGGCAAUGACGUUUGAAAAUGAACGAGCACUUUUUGAACGGUUUUGGAAAGAGCUACCGUGUUCUAAGAAAUAAUAAUCUUUACCUAUUUUAUUCUUGUUUUCACAAUUCCGAAUUUUUCAUAAUUCCGAAUUUAAUUGUGUUCUUUAGAAGUUCCCAUACUGGGAACUUCCUUGAGACUUGGAUCGACGUGGGGAUCCCCUUUGGAAUCAAGAAGCCCUGCAGGCGCUAACCACGCGGAUUGAAGAAGCAAGGAGAGUGUGGUACCGAAAUAGCAGCGGACCUUAAGCCGGCCACACACACCCCGACCCUCUUAUCAAUUCUUUUUUUUUUUAAUAAAUUUUUCUUUUGAAAUUA